UACAGAGGUCCCAAGCGUUGUUCGGAUUCACUGGGCGUAAAGGGUGCGUAGGUGGUGGGGUAAGUUUGAUGUGAAAGCUCCGAGCUUAACUCGGAAACUGCCAUUGAUACUAUCUGUCUUGAAUAUCGUGGAGGUAAGCGGAAUAUGUCAUGUAGCGGUGAAAUGCUUAGAUAUGACAUAGAACACCAAUUGCGAAGGCAGCUUACUACCCGAAUAUUGACACUGAGGCACGAAAGCGUGGGGAUCAAACAGG
rnacentral:rRNA from 1 species